GGGGUUGUAGCCUAGUGGUUAGAGCGUUGGACUUACGACUUGAAGGUCGGGGGUUCGAUUCCCGAUCCCA
rfam:Macrostomum lignano uti_cns_0003497, whole genome shotgun sequence.